rnacentral:lncRNA from 1 species
UAAAUAGAUUGAUAAAGUUAUCAACACUUUUAAUUCAGAAGACACCUCAUACGCCCCAUAUGUUUUGAUUGAUAAUUUGUAAAUCUGUUUUGUUAGCUGAACAUUUAAAAACACGCGUAAAUGAACGGAUUUUUGAUUUGCGGAGUCGUAAAGCUCUUAAAAGAAACAACUCAAAUAAUCUAAUUCGCGUCCUUGAAGAGGAAAAUGAAAUUCACAUUGGCCACCUACAAAGCUUAGUGUCAUGAGAUGCUUACUUUGCGCAGGUGCGGUAUUUAAACAACUUUUAAUACAAGAAUUAGAAUUGCGAAGUAAACCUAUCAAAUUUCUCAAAUUAGCUAAGAAAAAAUGUUUGCAAGAAUGAUAAAGAGAAUAAAGAGCAAUGUAGUUAAAGAGAAUUUUAUUACUCACAAAAGAGAAUACAAAAGAGCUUUAUAAGUAUACUUGAGUUGCUUGUGCUU